rnacentral:miRNA from 1 species
ACCACUUCCAAUGGUCGUAU